GAUGAAGAACGCAGUGAAAUGCGAUACGUAAUGUGAAUUGCAAAUUCAGUGAAUCAUCGAGUCUUUGAACGCACAUUGCGCCCCCUGGUAUUCCGGGGGGCAUGCCUGUCCGAGCGUCAUUGCUGCCCUCAAGCACGGCUUGUGUGUUGGGCCCCGUCCUCCGAUCCCGGGGGACGGGCCCGAAAGGCAGCGGCGGCACCGCGUCCGGUCCUCGAGCGUAUGGGGCUUUGUCACCCGCUCUGUAGGCCCGGCCGGCGCUUGCCGAUCAACCCAAAUUUUUAUCCAGGUUGACCUCGGAUCAGGUAGGGAUACCCGCUGAACUUAAGCAUAUCAAUAAGCGGAGG
rnacentral:misc_RNA from 1 species